GUGUGAGCCCAGGGCCACAUGCCCACUGUGAAAGUUGGAGACUGUGGACGUCUCCUGAGCCCCUGGUCUGGAGGCUUCGUGGCAUUCAGGCUGUGGUGUGGGACCUCCCCUCAGCCAUGACAGGAGCUGCUCGUUGGACAUCAGGCCACGCUUGCCUGUGUGCCAGGGCCAUAGUUGAAGGUCAAAGCCUGAGGCUGGGAGAGCAGGGGGUGCGCAGACCGACAGGUGGAGCAUGACUUUAUCCUGCAGGCCGAGCGGGAAACGUUCAUCGAGCAGAUGAAGGAUGUCAUGGACA
rnacentral:sRNA from 1 species